rnacentral:rRNA from 1 species
GAUGAACGCUGGCGGCGUGCCUAACACAUGCAAGUCGAGCGAUUUACUUCGGUAAAGAGCGGCGGACGGGUGAGUAACGCGUGGGUAACCUGCCCUGUACACACGGAUAACAUACCGAAAGGAAUGCUAAUACGAGAUAAUAUGCUUUUAUCGCAUGGUAGAAGUAUCAAAGCUUUUGCGGUACAGGAUGGACCCGCGUCUGAUUAGCUAGUUGGUGAGGUAACGGCUCACCAAGGCGACGAUCAGUAGCCGACCUGAGAGGGUGAUCGGCCACAUUGGAACUGAGACACGGUCCAAACUCCUACGGGAGGCAGCAGUGGGGAAUAUUGCACAAUGGGCGAAAGCCUGAUGCAGCAACGCCGCGUGAGCGAUGAAGGCCUUCGGGUCGUAAAGCUCUGUCCUCAAGGAAGAUAAUGACGGUACUUGAGGAGGAAGCCCCGGCUAACUACGUG